CAGCAAGGUGGAAGAGUGUAAGAAAAAUGUCGAGGAAAUAUGUCAGGAGAAGAAAGACAAAGCCAACAGACAGAGCCCUAAAGCCAUUUGUGAAG